rnacentral:rRNA from 1 species
AUUGAACGCUGGCGGCAGGCCUAACACAUGCAAGUCGAACGAGUGGCGGACGGGUGAGUAAUGCCUGGGAAACUGCCUGCUGGAGGGGGAUAACUACUGGAAACGGUAGCUAAUACCGCAUACCCUCGGAUGUGCCCAGAUGGGAUUAGCUAGUAGGUGGGGUAACGGCUCACCUAGGCGACGCUCCCUAGCUGGUCGGAGAGGCUGACCAGCCACACUGGAACUCAGACACGGUCCAGCCUCCUACGGGAGGCAGCAGUGGGGAAUAUUGCACAAUGGGCGCAAGCCUGAUGCAGCCAUGCCGCGUGUAUGAAGAAGGCCUUCGGGUUGUAAAGUACUUUCAGCGGGGAGGCGUUACCCGCAGAAGAAGCACCGGCUAACUCCGUGCCAGCCGCCGCGGUAAUUC